ensembl:misc_RNA Metazoa_SRP Metazoan signal recognition particle RNA
GCUGGGUGUGGUGGUGGGCACCUGUAAUCCCAGCUACUUGGGAGGCUGAGGCAGGAGAAUCGCUUGAACCCAGGAGGCAUAGGCAAGUUGAGAUCGUGCCACCACAUUCCAGCCUGGGUGACAGAGCGAGACUCUGCCUCAA